UUGUGAUGAAUUCUGCUUUACCAAUAGCCGAAAGUUACCGACAGUGCUUUAACAGUUUGCUCGAUUGGUGGUGCUACGGACGGUGUCGUCAGGAAGGUACGCGAUAUGUUUUCAGUUAAAUUCGAAAUAUCAGAGCUCCAUCGGUGAAAAUUUUCUCGCAGUGUACGGUAAUGCGAUCUACAUAAUAGACGUGAAAAUUUGUGUCAAAGUGAAUUUAACCUUGAACUCGACCAUGGCCUCUCGGUAAGCUGCUACUGCGCUCUACGUUGGAGAUAAAGAAAAAUCAAUAUGGUCGUUUCAGUGGCCGAGUAAUCGGGACUGGCAUUGAUUCAUUGAGUCUUUCCCCAGGGAUGCUGGAGCCUAUUUCCAUUCACCAAAAUCCUGUUGACCUCAGGUCGCUUAACCUAAAGGCUGAAUCUCGAUGUGACGAUUAAAGUCGCUUAAUCGGGGACCCGGUUGCCAAUGCGAUUAGGUUUAUCUUGCUGGACCAACUUACUCGCGCUUCGUUACUUCCGGUUUCGCGAAAUCCCAAGAGACUGGAUUCGGGAUCACGUGCUUAUCGUUGGGUCUGAUACCCAGCUUCGGGAACUGGACGAGCUUGGCAACUGAUUGAAAUACACGAUAGACACUAAUUAAUUAAAAGCAUUUAUACUUCAUAUCAGCCGUGAACGUAGAUGAAUCACAAGUCCUCCAGGGAAAAGCCCAUUGGAUUUAACACAAUACAAUUGCAGUCAACAGUUUAAUUCCAGUUAAGGUCCUAAAAGCCUAUGAGUUUCCCAGUAGAGACGAACUGCAUCGUUACUGCACGAAACAAUUUCCCAACUCGAAUUUCCAUGCAGGACAAAAUAUUUGAUUCAUCCACCAUCUGGACCAAACGGUAAGUCUGCACGUGACGACAGCCUAUCGGCAGACUGCCAGCAACUGCCUGUUGAUCGUGAGCGAUUGCUGCCACUCAGACGUAACGAUCCUCGCAUUAAGCAACCCUCCGCUCUCCGUAGCUUCUUCUAUCUAAGCCAUUGGGAAGCUGCUUGCGCAAUGUCUCAGAGAGUUCAUCUCUAGGUAGAUAUAGUAGAUCAAAAUCACGACUGGCUCAUCGACCAUUUUCAAAUUCUUCUUGGAAAUCGGACUGGAACGGUCUAAGUGGUGCAACGUACUUUUUCAUCCUGGGGCUGAUCUACGUCACAUUCGGCCGUUCGCUCUUCGUGCGUCCGCAAGCCAGGCGGACGUCAGCCAAUUCUUUUUUCAACGCGACCUGAUGACCCCGUACUACCUGGCAGUCGAGGUGGUACAGUCUCAGCAUCGAGAGAUCGGAAUGUCACGUGACACUUAAUCUUAAGACUAUGUUAAAACUAUGGUAAAAUUUUUUUAAACGUAUCGUACACGUAAAACAUGUGCACCAAAUUUCUGCCAUGACACUCGGCCCAGUCGUGAACGCGAGGCCCGUAAAGAGUUUCCCCAGAUAGCGUUACCCUCGAGGGUUCAACCCCUGGCAAAUAUUUACUUUCCUCGAGUUCACUUGUUAUCGAGGAGCCAUUGUAUUAUUUCGUCCGCGACGAGAAACUUUUCUCGAACGUAGCAGCCGACAGUACAGCGUACACGUGGUUAAAUGGAUAGACGGGAUAAGUGAGAUUAAAGGAUAGAGAAGCUUGUGAAAAAUACUAGAAAUUUUGUUUUUAAAAAAAUAAAAAUUAUAAAUACGUAGACGUUCCUAGGUGCUACUGUAUUUUUUUAAUGAUUUAGACCGACUUGAAUUUUUAAACUCGGAAGGAAUUUCUUAUGUGUUUUGCGGUAGCACCGAAACCCAAGCGAGUCGUCACUCUACAGCUUUGCCGCCAUCCUUGAUCCCAAUGUUGUCCCAUGGUAUUUACCAAGUCGAGUAGAUAAAUUGCAAGUCUCUAGUAAACAAGCGUACAGGUAGUCCAUAGACCAGUAACGGAAGUACUGGCGCAAAUACCGAAACGUCUUCGGGAUCUGGCGAAGCGAGUAGCAGGCGUCGGUAAAGUCGGUAGCUUCUUAUCGACAUAAGCGCACGUAGAGCAGCCCUGUGCUUCUUCAGGGAAUACGUACUUCGAGCAUCGAUCCAAUUGCACGUAGAAUUCGAGUUGGCAACACUGACCGAAGGAUUUAGCCAUUCGAGAAAAACAAUGUUGCAAGUCAUUGGAAGGACGUUGCACAGUAAAUUUUGGUGAAAAAAAGAAAAAGUCCACAGUCGAACUUUAGGAGCUCUGAAAACAGUUCGGGACUCGUAGAAGUCCACUACUUCGGUAUCACCGGCAAAGUCCUACAUAGAAAUUCGAAUCGUCGUUAAAUAAAUUUCUUACCCAGUAACGAAGUUUAUAAAAAUGUCAGGAUCGUAACCUCUGUUAAAAAAAAAAAAAUUAUUUGGAAAUCCGACAGCGCUCAGCCAAGUGAAUCCACUGUACGUCAGACAGUAGCGUGUAAGAGGGGUUUCGGUGAGUAAGAAGAAUAAAAUUAAAGCCCAGGAAAAUGAGAGACGCAGUAGGCGGAUGAAGUUGGAGUCGGUGUACAGGCUGCGUAACAAGUCUAAAGAAGUCUGGCUGGGAAGAUAGGAAACAGUAGUCGUCGAGUGUUGCGCUCGCACAGAUAUUGAUCGCCGAGGUCACGCAACAGGCUGCUUGUCAGGCGAACCAUCAGGCGAGCCUCCUGCCCCCUGACCCUGCACCCUUGAUUUCACUUCUAUGCGUGCCCACGCGUACUCCAUAUCCGUCUGACCAGAUACAAAGCAGCCAGUCGCCUUAGCCUGUCCGCUUGAAUACCUAACCUCACCCGUCCACACUCCCCGGAGAACCGCAACCGGCCGCAUCCUUGUCCCGUCCACGUGCUGCAUCGAGAGAUACGUUGUAUCCAUACAAACCAGAACGGAAUUGAUAUCGGGUAGAAUGUCUGACAGCUAUGACGUCAUGCCACCAAUCAAUCUCCCAUCCAUCGAUAAUGGGGUGCCGUAUGCUUGGAAAUAAAAAUUAUUAUUCCUAGUAUUACUAUCGGAUUACGGAUAUUACGUGCACGUGGAUGAGCUUUGGACGUGAUCUGGUGUAAAUAUGGAAAAUAAAUGGAAAAAUAAUUAUUUUUUAAGGGGGGGUCGGACUAUAAUUUUUGCUUCGAUAUCCUAUUCUUGGUCGCGCGAUCUCGUAUCUCUGUCUCUCUUUGUAGAACGGUUAUCAGCUUUAACGAGUAUUGCCUUUAUGACCAGGCAAAUCCUAUGAGCGAAACCGGAAGCUCUGGGCUUUGAGCUUUACUAUGGGAAGGUACGAUGGAACGCGGUGGAACAUUGCCCAGAGAGAAUAUCUGACUGAUUAUUAUUGGCCUGUCUUUGGGCUCGGUUAGUCACAAUGGGAUUAUUUCGAACUGGUUGGCUGCAUUAACGAACUGUAUUUUUGGGUAUAGACUGGAAUAUCGAUCGGGUGUUUUAAAGUUUGAGACUUUCGUAUCGAUGUGCCGGACUCGUAUGGUAAAUUAUUGAUAUACCGAUGGAAUGUAAAGGCGUGUACGCAAUUGUGAAAAGUGAGCGGUGAACGAGGCUGAAAUAAAAGUAUUCAGGCAUAA